AACCAUCGACUUCGUGCUAAAGUACCCAUGGGGGCUGGAGCACAGCCGGGUCUGAAUCCCAAGGCUGGAACAAAGGGAAAGAAUCUCCUGUUCUCACAGCCCACUCUUGUUUUGACCCAGGGGAAUCUUUCCCAAAGAAAGCUUCAUCAAUAUAAACCCAUUUUCACCAAAAAACCCCACAAAAACCAAACCAAAACAAAAGAAAGCUAGACUCACCAGAAUGAAAUGUUGCAAACUCAUUUCUCCUAACUCUAAACUGUAACAGCAAAGAUCAGGUUUCUUAUGAUUUUGACCAAGCUAAAAUAAUGAGAUCUCCUUUUGUGGUGUGCUUUGGAAAGGAUCUCUGUGGGUGCAGUUCUAGUGGAGGUGAAGUGGGCUUGCUAACUUCACAAGUGGUUUUCCAGGUCAGGACAGCAUCCUCUCUGAAUGUCUCAUGUGUCUGAUGUCUGUGGACCAGUCCUGCCACCCUGUCUGUCCCUGUGUCUAUAGCAGGGCUGCACUUUGACCCUCAGCUUUGGACAGCAUUGCCUGCUUCUUCCUGUGCUUGAGCCCACCCUGGGAUGCCCCCACAGUGUCUGUGCUGGAUUUGUAGCACAAAAAGACAAUAUCUUUCUCUCCUUUAUGAGGGAAUACUUGUAGCUCAUUUGAAGCAGAACAUAAUCUCGAGAAGAAGCUGAAGAACCAAGUUUCUAUCAGUGCAUGCUCUGUCAUUUUUCCAAUCACUCAUUCACUGCAAGAUCUCAAUCCACUCAUUCCACCUCUCUGACCCCAGUGUCCUCCCUGGGUGAUAACAGCAGUCACCCAUUUCUCUGAAGUGCUGGGUUCCAGCAGGGAAAAUGCUCCACAGACUCACCAGAAAUAGUGAUGAGUAUUAUUUUACAAAUGGGGAGAAAGUGGAAUUAGGUAUUUUUAGGAGACUCUCUCUUUUCUUACUUAAUUUCUGAAUUGGGAUAUUUUGAGUUGGCUCUUGGGAUUUUCCAAAGUGUCAGUCCUUUCUGUCAUGAUGUAGCCAGGCAGGAUUCACCCAGCCAUUCUCCAAAUUCUGCAGGCGGUCAUUGCACCAUAUGGAGUCCCAGUGCUGACUGACCAUUUGCACAGAAACAGUCUUUCUUACUGAAAGACCAGACAGCAUCAGUUCUGCAAGGCCAUAGGGACAGUGUUGGAGACAAGCCACACUGCCUGACCCUUGGAGGUGAUCCCUCCACACCUUCAGUGGGAACAGCAGAAAGCUUAGUUUUGUCUAGGACCUUCCACCUACCCCAAACCCCCAGGAUCCCCUGCAAAGUGUCCAGGAGGAUGGGAAAGACAGGUAUAUUUGUGCUCAGCCAUCACCAUAACCUGACCAAGAGGAAGUAUGGGCAGUCAGACACGGCACCACAGGAAAACAAGGGAUUGUGAUGUGGAGAGAUGCAUCUGGAUACAUAUUGCAAAGGAGCAGUGGUGUGAUGCCCUCCUUCCAUCAACAUGGUCCCACUCCUGGGGCUGGGGGAAAUGCUACCAUGAGUUUAGCCAAGUGAGGUAAAAAGCAAGGCUAGGGGAACCAGAAAGCUAAAUAAGGGGUGGAUUGGUACAAAGGAUAGCUGAGCAGAGGAAAGCAAAAGGAGGGAGCAGUGAAGGAACUGUAGCCCAGUACAGCUUGACUGAGAGGACCAGGAUGGGGGGAAGGGGACAGCACUGUCCUGUCCCUUAGGGAGCAGCAAAGGAACAUGGGGGAAAGACCAGAAGUGCCUGCAGCCAGGAGACAGGCAGACUGUGGGGGAGUGAGAGGAGAGCCCUGGGAUGCCUGGCAUUCCCCAGACCCCUCCACCAUCACCC
rnacentral:lncRNA from 1 species